AAAUUAAUGUUCUAAAGAAUACUAAGAUCCAGCUUCUUGUGGGACAGAGGCUGUAACCAUCUUCUUUUUUUGUCUUAACCUUAACACAAUGGUUGGGACAUAAUAGGCGCUCAGUAAAUAAGCUAAUUAAUCGGGGAGUUGUUUGGGAGAACCCGCGGAGGUUUGUGGUUGGGUUCCCUCGGCCCUUAUCGAAGCUGCCCCGCUCGGCCCGUGGCUGGCGCAGUCAAAAAGGAGCCCAAAGUGACCAUUUUCCUCGACGGUCGCGGUUCGGUUUGCGGUAACCGGCCCGCAACAUUUCGGGAAAAGACAUCGGCCGAACGCUUUUGGAGAGCCUAAAGGCGCGGUGGGAACCCAAGGGUCAGCCCAUUUUUGUCUUUUUCGCCCCCAGACCCGGAACCAGCUGUCAACAUGAAGUGGAGAGCGGAUCCCUGCCGGCCUCGUGGCCUGGAGUCCAGGGCUAACACGCCGGAGCCCGGCUAGGGGCCUGACCAGAGACCAGACUUGCCAAGGAGAGGAGGGCGGAUUCGCCAACGGCACAGGUGAGAGGCAAACGGCCGAUGCCCCCUCCCCAUCCCUCCGGAUCCCUUUCCCAUCAGGUCUGCACACCGACCUUGGUGGUCGUAAAAGGAGGGAAAGGAACUGGGCGCGGGCCGCCUGUCCGGUGUGGAGACAACGGACAAGGCCCGGUCCUCACAGUAACCCGAGAAAGCCCCUGUCCGGUAGUGGGAGGGCCUUGGAGCUGCUUCCUAAUUUGCGUUCCCUAUUCCCACAGAGGCCUGAGCGAUGGCGGUGAGGCCCCAGACCUGCUUGCCACUGUUAGGCGGUGGUGGUAUGUUGGAUGUGAAGAGCCGUGAAAGUUGGAGGCCCGUGCCUUGCUGACCUGGAAAGCAAGCAGAAAGGAUUUCCCCCUGCCCGUACGUAUGUCUGCAACUGACCUCAUGGCCAGAAAGGACUCCUGUUGUGUAGUCUCAAACACUUAAUAAUAAAGGACCUAAGUAAAUAUGAUCA